UACAGAGGUGGCAAGCGUUGUUCGGAAUUACUGGGCGUAAAGGGCGCGUAGGCGGCUUGGUCAGUCCCGUGUGAAAUCCCUCGGCUCAACUGAGGAACUGCACGGGAAACUGCCUGGCUUGAGUUCGGGAGAGGGAAGCGGAAUUCCGGGUGUAGCGGUGAAAUGCGCAGAUAUCAGGAGGAACACCGGUGGCGAAGGCGGGUCUCUGGGCCGGUACUGACGCUGAGGAGCGAAAGCGUGGGGAGCGAACAGG
rnacentral:rRNA from 1 species